CAUCUCUGAACCAACAAGGCGAAAUUGAUGAUAUGAUAAAUAUUUGAUCUAUUUCUUAAGACUAUACUUAAGAGUGGUCAUUUGAAAAUUUUAGAAACUCAAUAUGUACCUAUAAGAACUAGAACCAAGCGUAGGCACUCAUAACAAAACUAAUAAAUGAAUCUUUUACUAAAGGAACUCCUAAUGAUUCAUAGCUAGUAAUGUACAGUCUAGAGGACUUUAGGAAAGCGCUGAUCAAGUAUUGAGGUAUAUUAGAAUCAUUCAACCUUUAAUAGAUUUAGGGGAACAUUACGAUUUAGCUAAAAGAUAAUUCAUGUAGAUGUUAAGUCAUCGAAUAUGGAAGAGGAAAAAAUCUUGAAAACUCUAAUAUAGCAAGUCCAUAAAAAAUAUUUGAAAGUCAGAAAACCACCACACCCGUUAAAUUUUAAUAUUCACUAAUCCUUACGGGAUUAAAGCAGGAAAUGAAACACAAAGGUUAAACCAUCAUGCCGAUAAAUUUUCAUAUUUAAGUACGACCAAUCCUGUAGCACCCGGAAAGGAGGAAAAAAAAAAAAAAAAAAAAAAAAAAAAAAAAAAAAAGGGGGGGGGGGGCCACGUCAGCAGCCACGUCAGCAGGCCCGGUCAGCAGUCCCGGCCAACCGGGGCCUGCCACGUGGCAAGAUCGCGUCACUCCAAAAGGAGCCACGUUGGCGAUCCGCGUGGGUGCGAUCCGACGGCC
rnacentral:lncRNA from 1 species